AGAGUUUGAUCCUGGCUCAGAUUGAACGCUGGCGGCAGGCCUAACACAUGCAAGUCGAGCGGUAGCACAGAGAGCUUGCUCUCGGGUGACGAGCGGCGGACGGGUGAGUAAUGUCUGGGAAACUGCCUGAUGGAGGGGGAUAACUACUGGAAACGGUAGCUAAUACCGCAUAACGUCGCAAGACCAAAGUGGGGGACCUUCGGGCCUCAUGCCAUCAGAUGUGCCCAGAUGGGAUUAGCUAGUAGGUGGGGUAACGGCUCACCUAGGCGACGAUCCCUAGCUGGUCUGAGAGGAUGACCAGCCACACUGGAACUGAGACACGGUCCAGACUCCUACGGGAGGCAGCAGUGGGGAAUAUUGCACAAUGGGCGCAAGCCUGAUGCAGCCAUGCCGCGUGUGUGAAGAAGGCCUUCGGGUUGUAAAGCACUUUCAGCGGGGAGGAAGGCGUUAAGGUUAAUAACCUUGGCGAUUGGCGUUACCCGCAGAAGAAGCACCGGCUAACUCCGUGCCAGCAGCCGCGGUAAUACGGAGGGUGCAAGCGUUAAUCGGAAUUACUGGGCGUAAAGCGCACGCAGGCGGUCUGUCAAGUCGGAUGUGAAAUCCCCGGGCUCAACCUGGGAACUGCAUUCGAAACUGGCAGGCUAGAGUCUUGUAGAGGGGGGUAGAAUUCCAGGUGUAGCGGUGAAAUGCGUAGAGAUCUGGAGGAAUACCGGUGGCGAAGGCGGCCCCCUGGACAAAGACUGACGCUCAGGUGCGAAAGCGUGGGGAGCAAACAGGAUUAGAUACCCUGGUAGUCCACGCCGUAAACGAUGUCGAUUUGGAGGUUGUGCCCUUGAGGCGUGGCUUCCGGAGCUAACGCGUUAAAUCGACCGCCUGGGGAGUACGGCCGCAAGGUUAAAACUCAAAUGAAUUGACGGGGGCCCGCACAAGCGGUGGAGCAUGUGGUUUAAUUCGAUGCAACGCGAAGAACCUUACCUGGUCUUGACAUCCACAGAACUUAGCAGAGAUGCUUUGGUGCCUUCGGGAACUGUGAGACAGGUGCUGCAUGGCUGUCGUCAGCUCGUGUUGUGAAAUGUUGGGUUAAGUCCCGCAACGAGCGCAACCCUUAUCCUUUGUUGCCAGCGGUUAGGCCGGGAACUCAAAGGAGACUGCCAGUGAUAAACUGGAGGAAGGUGGGGAUGACGUCAAGUCAUCAUGGCCCUUACGACCAGGGCUACACACGUGCUACAAUGGCAUAUACAAAGAGAAGCGACCUCGCGAGAGCAAGCGGACCUCAUAAAGUAUGUCGUAGUCCGGAUUGGAGUCUGCAACUCGACUCCAUGAAGUCGGAAUCGCUAGUAAUCGUAGAUCAGAAUGCUACGGUGAAUACGUUCCCGGGCCUUGUACACACCGCCCGUCACACCAUGGGAGUGGGUUGCAAAAGAAGUAGGUAGCUUAACCUUCGGGAGGGCGCUUACCACUUUGUGAUUCAUGACUGGGGUGAAGUCGUAACAAGGUAACCGUAGGGGAACCUGCGGCUGGAUCACCUCCUUA
rnacentral:rRNA from 1 species